UUUAUUUAAUUUAAAUUUAAAAUAUAAACUUUGGAAGUUUAAAAUAUUACAUUAGUAAUAAUAAAAA
rnacentral:tRNA from 1 species